AGCAGUAGCCGCGGGAAUACGUAGGGUGCAAGCGUUAAUCGGAAUUACUGGGCGUAAAGCGUGCGCAGGCGGUCCGCUAAGACAGAUGUGAAAUCCCCGGGCUUGACCUGGGAACUGCAUUUGUGACUGGCGGGCUAGAGUAUGGCAGAGGGGGGUAGAAUUCCACGUGUAGCAGUGAAAUGCGUAGAGAUGUGGAGGAAUACCGAUGGCGAAGGCAGCCCCCUGGGCCAAUACUGACGCUCAUGCACGAAAGCGUGGGGAGCAAACAGGAUUAGAUACCCGAGUAGUCCCUGUCUCUUAUAC
rnacentral:rRNA from 1 species